GUGCCGUGAGGUGUUGGGUUAAGUCCCGCAACGAGCGCAACCCUCGUCGCUAGUUGAAUUCUCUAGCGAGACAGCCCCUAACAAGGGGGAGGAAGGUGGGGAUGACGUCAAGUCAGCAUGGCCCUUACGCCCUGGGCUACACACACGCUACAAUGGUCGGGACAGAGGGUCGCGAUACCGCGAGGUGGAGCCAAUCCCAUCAAACCCGGCCUCAGUGGGGAUUGCAGGCUGCAACCCGCCUGCAUGAACGAGGAGUUGCUAGUAACCGCAGGUCAGCAUUACUGCGGUGAAUACGUUCCCGGGCCUUGUACACACCGCCCGUCACGUCAUGGAAGCCGACAAUGCCUGAAGUCCGUGGGCUAACCCGCAAGGGAGGCAGCGGCCGAGGGUGGGGCCGGUGACUGGGACGAAGUCGUAACAAGGUAGCUGUACCGGAAGGUGCGGCUGGAUCACCUCCUUU
rnacentral:rRNA from 1 species